rnacentral:rRNA from 1 species
AGCAGCCGCGGUAAUUCCAGCUCCAAUAGCGUAUAUUAAAGUUGUUGCAGUUAAAAAGCUCGUAGUUGAAUUUCGGGGUUAGUAGGUUGGUCAUGCCUCUGGUAUGUACUGGUCUCACUGAUUCCUCCUUCCUGAUGAGCCGUAAUGCCAUUAAUUUGGUGUUGCGGGGAGACUGGACUGUUACUUUGAAAAAAUUAGAGUGUUUAAAGCAGGCUAACGCUUGAAUACAUUAGCAUGGAAUAAUGAAAUAGGACGUUCGAUCUUAUUUUGUUGGUUUCUAAGAUUGACGUGAUGAUUAAUAGGGAUAGUUGGGGGCAUUAGUAUUCAAUUGUCAGAGGUGAAAUUCUUGGAUUUAUUGAAGACUAACUACUGCGAAAGCAUUUGCCAAGGAUGUUUUCAUUAAUCAAGAACGAAAGUUAGGGGAUCGAAGACGAUCAGAUACCGUCGUAGUCUUAACCAUAAACUAUGCCGACUAGGGAUCGGAUGAUGUAAUUUUUAAUGA